rnacentral:rRNA from 1 species
AUUGAACGCUGGCGGCAGGCCUAACACAUGCAAGUCGAACGAGUGGCGGACGGGUGAGUAAUGUCUGGGAAACUGCCCGAUGGAGGGGGAUAACUACUGGAAAAGGUAGCUAAUACCGCAUACCAUCGGAUGUGCCCAGAUGGGAUUAGCUAGUAGGUGGGGUAACGGCUCACCUAGGCGACGAUCCUUCGCUGGUCUGCGAGGAUAACCAGCCAAAUUGGAACGGAGCCACGGCCCGGAUUCCUAUGGAGGGAGGCAGGGGGGAAUAUUGCACAAUGGGCGCAAGCCUGAGGCAGCCAUGCCGGUUGUAUGAAGAGGGCUUUCGGGUUGUAAAGUACGUUCAGCGAGGAGGCGGUACUCGCAUAAGAAGCACCGGCUAACUCCGUGCCAGCAGCCGCGGUAAUAC